CAGGCAGGCAGGCAGGCUGAGGCUAGCUAGGCCAGGGGAGGUGCUCGCUCCUGCCACCUUCUCCAGGAACUCUUUGCAGCCCGGGAGCCGGAGCGGAGAAAGCAAACAGUGGAGGCUCCAAGCACUGUCUGCUUUAUCCGCUCCUGCUCCUGGGGCUGACCUAGCAAACGCGCAGCGGAAGGCCAAGGAUGCCGGGGUGUCGAGGGUGCUAGUGAGGGCAGCAGAGAAAUGGCUCACCAUGAAGGAGCAGAGGUUGGUUUGGGACGCGAAUCUGGCUGGAAGGGGGCGCGCGGAGGGGCCCCGCGAGCUGGGAGGGCUUCAGUGAUUGAAGACCCCCCGAGGGUGGCUAGGGGGAGCCAGUCCUGAAGCGAAGCUCCCCGAGUCAUCUGAAGUCACAUCAGAACGAGAUGGCAGAGGGGAAGAGCACAUGCAGUGGGCCCCCGAAGUGAAUGAACGAGGGAGAUGAAAGUCGGAGGCGCCACGAAGGGCCGAGAACGGAAAAAGUGGGGUAUCAUCAGAAAAACACUGAUGCCAGGGUUGCAAUCGCCAUGCUAAUCAGUCAGAAGGAGACCAGUGGCACAGACAUGAGUAGAUGGGAGUGACCGUCCAGGCUCUGUAAAGAUCAAUCAACUGAUCACUUCACUGAUCUAGCAGCAGUCAGGGAAGGAGCCUUUCUUACCCAGCCAACUCCCCCCAGGCAUAAGCGUGCGGGCAUGAAGAAAGGAUUACAUCCUGGCAAAGGUCCCAGCCCAGCAGCAAUGCCCAGGACAGGACCUUUUCCAUCUGCUAACAAGGUGCCACUUGAUUCAGACAGCAUGGCUAGAAAGGCGACAGGCCCAAGACCCUGGAUCGUUGUGUUGACAGCAGAGAGAAGAAUGCUGACCCACUGGGGGUGCUGAAUCCCCUCACCCAGAGAAGAGAGAACCUCCAAGUAGACAAGAAAAGCCCUACAACUGAGAUGCUCCCAGAAGCCCUACACGAGAAAGACCUAAGCCCCCCACUCUCCACAAUGUUCUGCCAAUAACUCAGCCUCUGUUUUCUCCCCUCAAAAUCCAUCACCUCCUGGAAGCUUUCCAUGAUGAGAGAUCCCCUCCCCCCCACUCCACCCCUCCCCCUGAUCCUGGCUUUACCGUCCCCCUCUCCCUCCAGCCCCCCACCCAUCCCCCCACAUGUGAUGUCCCUCGAUUCAGCGACCCUGAAGCCCUUACAGACUCCAAUUGCACUAGUUCGUUUGCACUGAUACGUGUGCAUGGUCCCCACGAGUGUGUGAGUGAGUGUGCGUGUGCGUGUCUGUGUUGGUCCUGUCUCGGCUGGCCUGCUCCCCCACGAGCCCAGGCUAGUCCUUCACUUACACCUCUGGCAGUUCUCUCCCCUGUUCCCCCUCCCCCAGAGCCCUCCCACCAGGGCUGGCUCUGCACACACUCA